GACGAACGCUGGCGGCGUGCCUAAUACAUGCAAGUUGAGCGCUGAAGGUUGGUACUUUUCCCAAUUGAAUGACCAUUGACCGGUUGAUUACCCCUUGGGGAUCUUGCCUUUGACCGGGGGCCACCUUUUGAAACCGAUUCUUAUUACCCCUUAAAACUUUUAAACAAAAUUUUUAAGUUUGAAAAUUCCAUUUGCUUCACCCAAGGAUAAUCCCGCGUUGUAUUAGUUAGUUGUUGAGGUAAAGGCUCACCAAGGCGAUGAUACAUAGCCGACCUGAGAGGGUGAUCGGCCACAUUGGGACUGAGACACGGCCCAAACUCCUACGGGAGGCAGCAGUAGGGAAUCUUCGGCAAUGGACGAAAGUCUGACCGAGCAACGCCGCGUGAGUGAAGAAGGUUUUCGGAUCGUAAAACUCUGUUGGUAGGGAAGAACGUUGGUGAGAGUGGAAAGCUCAUCAAGUGACGGUAACUACCCAGAAAGGGACGGCUAACUACGUG
rnacentral:rRNA from 1 species